GUAGGUGGCAAGCGUUGUCCGGAAUUAUUGGGCGUAAAGCGCGCGCAGGUGGUUCUUUAAGUCUGAUGUGAAAGCCCCCGGGCUCAACCGGGGGAGGGUCAUUGGAAAACUGGGGAACUUGAGUGCAGGAGAGGAAAGUGGAAUUCCACGUGUAGCGGUGAAAUGCGUAGAUAUGUGGAGGAACACCAGUGGCGAAGGCGACUUUCUGGCCUGUAACUGACACUGAGGCGCGAAAGCGUGGGGAGCAAACAGGAUUAGAUACCCUGGUAGUCCACGCCGUAAACGAUGAGUGCUAAGUGUUGGGGGGUUUCCGCCCCUCAGUGCUGCAGCUAACGCAUUAAGCACUCCGCCUGGGGAGUACGGUCGCAAAGACUG
rnacentral:rRNA from 1 species